GACGAACGCUGGCGGCGUGCUUAACACAUGCAAGUCGAACGGAAAGGCCCUGCUUUUGUGGGGUGCUCGAGUGGCGAACGGGUGAGUAACACGUGAGUAACCUGCCCUUGACUUUGGGAUAACUUCAGGAAACUGGGGCUAAUACCGGAUAGGAGCUCCUGCUGCAUGGUGGGGGUUGGAAAGUUUGGGCGGUUGGGGAUGGACUCGCGGCUUAUCAGCUUGUUGGUGGGGUAGUGGCUUACCAAGGCUUUGACGGGUAGCCGGCCUGAGAGGGUGACCGGCCACAUGGGGACUGAGAUACGGCCCAGACUCCUACGGGAGGCAGCAGUGGGGAAUAUUGCACAAUGGGCGGAAGCCUGAUGCAGCAACGCCGCGUGCGGGAUGACGGCCUUCGGGUUGUAAACCGCUUUCGCCUGUGACGAAGCGUGAGUGACGGUAAUGGGUAAAGAAGCACCGGCUAACUACGUG
rnacentral:rRNA from 1 species